CCUACGGGUGACAGCAGUGAGGAAUAUUGGUCAAUGGACGCAAGUCUGAACCAGCCAUGCCGCGUGCAGGAAGACGGCUCUAUGAGUUGUAAACUGCUUUUGUACGAGGGUAAACGCAGAUACGCGUAUCUGUCUGCAAGUAUCGUACGAAUAAGGAUCGGCUAACUCCGUGCCAGCAGCCGCGGUAAUACGGAGGAUUCAAGCGUUAUCCGGAUUUAUUGGGUUUAAAGGGUGCGUAGGCGGUCGGAUAAGUUAGAGGUGAAAUCCCGAGGCUCAACUUCGGAAUUGCCUCUGAUACUGUUCGGCUAGAGAGUAGUUGCGGUAGGCGGAAUGUAUGGUGUAGCGGUGAAAUGCUUAGAGAUCAUACAGAACACCGAUUGCGAAGGCAGCUUACCAAGCUACUUCUGACGUUGAGGCACGAAAGCGUGGGGAGCAAACAGGAUUAGAUACCCCUGUAGUC
rnacentral:rRNA from 1 species